UACGGGGGGGGCAAGCGUUGUUCGGAAUUACUGGGCGUAAAGCGCACGCAGGCGGAUCGUUAAGUCAGGGGUGAAAUCCCGAGGCUCAACCUCGGAACUGCCUUUGAUACUGGCGAUCUUUGAGUCCGGGAGAGGUGAGUGGAACUCCGAGUGUAGAGGUGAAAUUCGUAGAUAUUCGGAAGAACACCAGUGGCGAAGGCGGCUCACUGGCCCGGUACUGACGCUCAUGUGCGAAAGCGUGGGGAGCAAACAGG
rnacentral:rRNA from 1 species